rnacentral:rRNA from 1 species
AUACGUAGGGGGCGAGCGUUGUCCGGAAUGAUUGGGCGUAAAGGGCGCGUAGGCGGCCCGGUAAGUCUGGAGUGAAAGUCCUGUUUUUAAGAUGGGAAUUGCUUUGGAUACUGUCGGGCUUGAGUGCAGGAGAGGUAAGUGGAAUUCCCAGUGUAGCGGUGAAAUGCGUAGAGAUUGGGAGGAACACCAGUGGCGAAGGCGACUUACUGGACUGUAACUGACGCUGAGGCGCGAAAGUUUGGGGAGCAAACAGGAUUAGAUACCCUGGUAGUCCACACUGUAAACGAUGAAUGCUAGGUGUAGGGGGUAUCGACCCCUUCUGUGCCGCAGUCAACACAAUAAGCAUUCCGCCUGGGGAGUACGGCCGCAAGGUUGAAACUCAAAGGAAUUGACGGGG